rnacentral:rRNA from 1 species
UACGUAGGGGGCUAGCGUUGUCCGGAAUCAUUGGGCGUAAAGCGCGCGUAGGCGGCCCGGUAAGUCCGCUGUAAAAGUCAAAGGCUCAACCUUUGAAUGUCAGUGGAUACUGCCGGGCUAGAGUCCGGAAGAGGAGAGUGGAAUUCCUGGUGUAGCGGUGAAAUGCGCAGAUAUCAGGAAGAACACCAAUGGCAAAAGCAGCUCUCUGGGACGGUACUGACGCUGAGACGCGAAAGCGUGGGGAGCGAACAGG